rnacentral:rRNA from 1 species
GACGAACGCUGGCGGCGUGCCUAACACAUGCAAGUCGAGCGGGGUUGAAGCGAGGGGUAACUCGGACUUCUACCUAGCGGCGGACGGGUGAGUAACGCGUGGGCAACCUGCCUCAAGGUUUGGGAUAACAGCUCGAAAGGGCUGCUAAUACCGGAUAUGCCUGUGGCCUCGCAUGGGGCUAUGAGCAAAGGGGAAACCCGCCUUGAGAUGGGCCCGCGUCCCAUCAGCUAGUUGGUGAGGUGAAGGCUCACCAAGGCGACGACGGGUAGCCGGCCUGAGAGGGUGACCGGCCACACUGGGACUGAGACACGGCCCAGACUCCUACGGGGGGCAGCAGUGGGGGAUCUUGCACAAUGGGCGAAAGCCUGAUGCAGCGACGCCGCGUGAGCGAAGAAGGCCUUCGGGUUGUAAAGCUCUGUCUGGAGGGACGAAACAAAUGACGGUACCUCCGGAGGAAGCCACGGCUAACUAACGUG